rnacentral:rRNA from 1 species
UACGUAGGGUGCGAGCGUUAAUCGGAAUUACUGGGCGUAAAGCGUGCGCAGGCGGUUUUGUAAGCCAGAUGUGAAAUCCCCGGGCUUAACCUGGGAAUGGCAUUUGGGACUGCAAGGCUCGAGUGCGGCAGAGGAGACUGGAAUUCCUGGUGUAGCAGUGAAAUGCGCAGAUAUCAGGAGGAACACCGAUGGCGAAGGCAGGUCUCUGGGCCGAUACUGACGCUGAGGAGCGAAAGCGUGGGGAGCGAACAGG